rnacentral:rRNA from 1 species
GUAGGUGGCAAGCGUUGUCCGGAAUUAUUGGGCGUAAAGCGCGCGCAGGCGGUCCUUUAAGUCUGAUGUGAAAGCCCACGGCCCAACCGUGGAGGGUCAUUGGAAACUGGGGGACUUGAGUACAGAAGAGGAAAGCGGAAUUCCAAGUGUAGCGGUGAAAUGCGUAGAGAUUUGGAGGAACACCAGUGGCGAAGGCGGCUUUCUGGUCUGUAACUGACGCUGAGGCGCGAAAGCGUGGGGAGCAAACAGGAUUAGAUACCCUGGUAGUCCACGCCGUAAACGAUGAGUGCUAAGUGUUAGGGGGUUUCCCGCCCCCCUUAGUGCUGCAGCUAACGCAUUAAGCACUCCGCCUGGGGGAGUACGGCCGCAAGGCUG